rnacentral:ncRNA from 2 species
UACGGAGGGGGCUAGCGUUGUUCGGAAUCACUGGGCGUAAAGCGCACGUAGGCCGACUGUUAAGUCGGGGGUGAAAGCCUGGAGCUCAACUCCAGAACUGCCUCCGAUACUGGCAAUCUUGAGUCCGAGAGAGGUGAGUGGAAUUCCCAGUGUAGAGGUGAAAUUCGUAGAUAUUGGGAAGAACACCAGUGGCGAAGGCGGCUCACUGGCUCGGUACUGACGCUGAGGUGCGAAAGCGUGGGGAGCAAACAGG